AGGUCGAUGGCGAAGCUGGCGUCGCAUCUGUCUACCGUACGCCUGUUUAUGUAGCCUUACAAUUGUAAACAGAAGAUCCCAGUUCGAAUCUGGGUCGACCCG